CGGGUGAGUAACGCGUAAACAACCUGCCCUUCGGAUGGGGAUAACAGCCGGAAACGGCUGCUAAUACCGAAUACGAUCUUUUCGUCGCAUGACGGAAAGAAGAAAGGAUGGCCUCUAUACAAAGCUAUCGCCGAAGGAGGGGUUUGCGUCUGAUUAGCUGGUUGGAGGGGUAACGGCCCAACAAGGCGAUGAUCAGUAGCCGGUCUGAGAGGAUGAACGGCCACAUUGGGACUGAGACACGGCCCAGACUCCUACGGGAGGCAGCAGGU
rnacentral:rRNA from 1 species